rnacentral:rRNA from 1 species
UACGUAGGGUGCGAGCGUUGUCCGGAAUUAUUGGGCGUAAAGGGCUCGUAGGCGGCCAACUAAGUCGGAUGUGAAAUCCCCAGGCUUAACCUGGGAACUGCAUCCGAUACUGGAUGGCUUGAAUCCGGGAGAGGGAUGCAGAAUUCCAGGUGUAGCGGUGAAAUGCGUAGAUAUCUGGAGGAAUACCGGUGGCGAAGGCGACUCUUUGGCCUGUAACUGACGCUGAGGCGCGAAAGCGUGGGGAGCAAACAGG